rfam:Actinobacteria bacterium 13_2_20CM_2_72_6 13_2_20cm_2_scaffold_3974, whole genome shotgun sequence.
CCGGACACACCGCCGAAUCGUCAAUACGAGCCGGGGAACCAACCGCACACUCUGGGGUGAAUCCGCGACCCGCGGUAGGGGAACUUCCCAUCCCGAACCCGUCAGCUAACCCGGUAGGCGGCGAAGUCCGGUCAG